UCAGCCCCAGAGACUGAAGUGCUCUGUAUAUUCAUUGAAGAGGUACAGCACAAAGAACAGGUGUGCAAAUUCCAUCACACACUGGCUGUUGUCAACAUCUUCUAGAAACCUUUGUUCACCAGCUAUACGACAGGCAUAGCAGCCUAUUCAGUUUUCAUUAACCCAUAUCUGCCUUCU
rnacentral:sRNA from 1 species